rnacentral:rRNA from 1 species
UUAGCAUGGAAUAAUAGAAUAGGACGUAUGGUUCUAUUUUGUUGGUUUCUAGGACCAUCGUAAUGAUUAAUAGGGACGGUCGGGGGCAUCAGUAUUCAGUUGUCAGAGGUGAAAUUCUUGGAUUAACUGAAGACUAACUACUGCGAAAGCAUUUGCCAAGGACGUUUUCAUUAAUCAAGAACGAAAGUUAGGGGAUCGAAGAUGAUCAGAUACCGUCGUAGUCUUAACCAUAAACUAUGCCGACUAGGGAUCGGGUGGCGCUAUUUUGCCCACUCGGCACCUUACGAGAAAUCAAAGUUUUUGGGUUCUGGGGGGAGUAUGGUCGCAAGGCUGAAACUUAAAGGAAUUGACGGAAGGGCACCACCAGGAGUGGAGCCUGCGGCUUAAUUUGACUCAACACGGGGAAACUCACCAGGUCCAGACGUAAUAAGGAUUGACAAGUUAGAGACUUCUCUUGAUCUUACGGGUGGUGGUGCAUGGCCGUUUUUAGUCCUUGGAGUGAUUUGUCUGCUUAAUUGCGAUAACGGACGAGACCUUAACCUGCUAAAUAGGGCUGCGAGCAUCUGCUCGUGGGCUCUUCUUAGAGGGACUAUGGGUAUCAAACCCAUGGAAGUUUGAGGCAACAACAGGUCUGUGAUGCCCUUAGACGUUCUGGGCCGCACGCGCGCUACACUGACGGAGCCAGCAAGUAUAUCCUUGGUCGAGAGGCCCGGGUAAUCUCGUGAAACUCCGUCGUGCUGGGGAUAGAGCAUUGCAAU